GAGCGUCUGUUUAACUUUCCACCUGGUCAUACAACUCUGCAGCUGUUAGAAUGCGCAAGCGCUUGGGGACAGCAUGAGCUUGCUGUUGUACAAAGGGUAUUUAUAGAAGCAUAGACUGGGAAGAUGUGCCACCAAGGGGCUACAGGCAUUGCCCGUGCUCCUCAGCUGUAUUUUGUAAUCAGAAUCAAAUAAAUUACUUUUAAAGAAAAAAUAAAAAUCAGGGCAUUGCCUGGGCACAGUGGCUCACACCUGUAAUCCCAGCAUUUUGGGAGGCCCAGGCGGGAGAUCACUUGAGCUCAGGAGUUUGAGACCAGCCUGGGCAACAUAGUGAGCCCUUGUUUCCACUUUUUGUAGCUUUUUUUUUUUUUAAGAAAAAGAGAAAAAAUGAUAAUUUUUUUAAAAAAACAGGGCAAGAAACUAGACAAGGGGAAAACUUAUAAACCAUCAGUUAAAUGCCCACUGGAGCUGCUAUUUUAAAGAAGCACAUGCCAGAGUGAGGAAACAGUUCCUUCCCCACUUCACCUCCUUGACCACAUUCGCUCGUGCAAUUUGUAGGGUGGUUACUCGUCACGGACACCUACCAGGCACCAAGAGGACCUCAAACGCUGGAGCUCCCACAGUCGUCAAGGACUUAGAGUUGGAGUUGAAUUGGACACAUCAGCACGAACUCAUUUCCCAGCUCCCACUGGAGUGCACUAGAAGCAGACGCCUGCCUUUAGUUCUCACACGGAUAAUGUGAUUCGCACCAUGAGCGCCCAGACAUAACAUUCAACUGAUAACAUUUGCCACUCAAAGAAACAGGGCUCCUUGGGGAAUAGCUGAUUCCAUACCUUGGUGCAAGAAAAAUCAGAGUUGGCCUGAGCAGACUUUGCUAGAAGUAUGAAAAACUUGACCAAAGGAAGCCACCCACACUGAUAAUUGCCAGCCUGGGAGAAAUGACUGUAGAAGGCACAUCCAGGCCCCACUCCCAGACCCAGUGCCCAGGCUCCAAGCAUCUCUCCAUACUGGAACAGCACGGCAGCUCCAAAUCUGGAACUCAUACCCCGAUCUGUAACCGUACCUCAGACCUACAUCUUCAACUGAUUUCAGCCCAACUGUGAGGCUAAUUCUGCUUUCUUUCUUUGGAUAGAGGCUUAAAAAUAAAUAUAAAGAAGAUGAUGGACACGAACGUACAUUAAUACUCUUGUAAUACCUUUAAGGAGUAACUACUUUAAUAGCUUUAGGUAAUAACUACUGCAAACACUGGGAUGAUUUGGGUUUUAUCUGCUUUUAGUUGAGGUAAAAUUCACGUAACAAAAUUAACCACUAAUGACUUUAAAGUAUAGAAUUUUAAAAUCUGCUUUUUAAAGUGUUGGAAAAGUGUAAAAGCAUGUGACAUUAAACUUGUGAUAUUAGUUUAGUAUUUAGGUAGAUUAAGUUUGGUGGUUAAAUGCUUAAAUAAAUCUAAUUGGGUCUAUAAAUUGAGGCUAUGUUUUGUGAAUAGUGUUUAAAUUAUUAGUGCUACAUGCUUAGUGUCUAAGAUUUUGUUAGAUUUGUAUAUCUGCCUUGUUAGAUGUUUGAAUAUUAAUAUUAAUAUAGUUUAAACAGCCUAAGCUAAUUUAAUUAAUCAAGCUUAUAAGUAAUAUUUAAUGUUUAGAGAAUUUAUAAGCUAAUCAGGCAUUAAUCAAAGAACAAGUGAUAGAAAUACUAGAUUUAUGAGCAAAGUAACAUAAAAAUACUAGAUUUAUGAGCAAAGUAAUAAAUUGUAUGAGUUGAACUUAACAAAACUAGUCUUGAAAAUGUACAACUUUGGGUGCAGUGGCUCAUGCUUGUGGUCCCACCAUUUUGGGAGGCUGAGGCAGGAGCAUCACAUGGGACCAGGAGUUGAAGGCUGCAAUGAGCCAUGAUUAUACCACUGUGCUCCAGUUUGGGUGACAGAGCGAGACUCUGUCCCCCCAAAACAAAGUAAAACAAAUAAAAAUGAAAAUAACAAUAAAAUGUACACCUUCAAUAAACUGGAAACAUAAGUAAAAUACACAAAUAAAUUUGUUCCUCUCCACGCAUAAAAGCUUCCCUCAGGCAUUAAAAACUCAACUGACCAUGACUUAGUAGCUUAUAAACUAACACAAAAGUAUAGAAAGAGAUUUAUUUGUUGAAAUUUUGACAGUUAAAAAUAUUACAAGUCAAAUUAAAAGGAAG
rnacentral:lncRNA from 10 species